rnacentral:rRNA from 1 species
UAAACCGGAGGAAGGUGGGAUGACGUCAAGUCAGCAUGGCCUUUAUAUCCUGGGCUACACACACGCUACAAUGGGAAGGGACAAUAGGUUGCGAAGCCGCGAGGCGGAGCCAAUCCGGCAAAACUUCCCUCAGUUCAGAUUGCAGGCUGCAACUCGCCUGCAUGAAGUUGGAGUUGCUAGUAAACGCAGGUCAGCCAUACUGCGUUGAAUACGUUCCCGGGGCUU